rnacentral:rRNA from 1 species
GAAGGACUCCGCUUUCGGGUGGAGAGCGUACACAGGUGCUGCAUGGCUGUCGUCAGCUCGUGUCGUGAGAUGUUGGGUUAAGUCCCGCAACGAGCGCAACCCUUGUGUUUUAGUUGCAAACAGGUCAAGCUGUGCACUCUAGACAGACUGCCGUGGACAACACGGAGGAAGGUGGGGAUGACGUCAAAUCAUCAUGCCCCUUAUGAUCUGGGCUACACACGUGCUACAAUGGCCGGUACAACGGGCAGCGAAGGAGCGAUCCGGAGCGAAUCCUAAAAAGCCGGUCCCAGUUCGGAUUGCAGGCUGAAACUCGCCUACAUGAAGUUGGAGUUGCUAGUAAUCGCGAAUCAGAAUGUCGCGGUGAAUGCGUUCCCGGGUCUU